GCAGUAACCCCGCGCCGCUCUGCGCACGCGCGGCUUCAGGCUGUCCGCGGAGCUCCUUGAGCCCGCGUGGGAAACCUGGGCGCUUCGCGCGGAGACGCCUUUGUGGCUGCUUCCUGGAGCAUUUUUUUCCCCUUAGAGCUGUUCGCUGUUUUCCCUCUCACGCCGCUUUUCUGAAAGACGGGUUGUGCGCUUUGGGCUUAUUCCUGGAUGGUCCCCAAAGGUCCCCGAAAGGACCAGGCCCGGACACGUGGGGCCUUGGUUUCCGGCCGGAAGUCCCGGGAGGUGUAGGGCGAGAGUUCUGGCCGUGGCGGGCCGGUUUCUGCGUGCUGCGUGCGCGGCCGCGUGGGCUAUGGGGCGGCGGUCGCGGGGCCGGCGGCUCCAGCAACAGCAGCGGCCGGAGGACGCGGAGGAUGGCGCCGAGGGUGGUGGAAAGCGCGGCGAGGCGGGCUGGGAAGGAGGCUACCCCGAGAUCGUCAAGGAGAACAAGCUGUUCGAGCACUACUACCAGGAGCUCAAGAUCGUGCCCGAGGGCGAGUGGGGCCAGUUCAUGGACGCUCUCAGGGAGCCGCUCCCGGCCACUUUAAGAAUUACUGGUUACAAAAGCCACGCAAAAGAGAUUCUCCAUUGCUUGAAGAACAAAUAUUUUAAGGAAUUGGAGGACCUGGAGGUGGACGGUCAGAAAGUUGAAGUUCCACAGCCACUGAGUUGGUAUCCUGAAGAACUUGCCUGGCACACAAAUUUAAGUCGAAAAAUCUUGAGAAAAUCGCCACAGUUGGAAAAGUUUCAUCAGUUUCUAGUUAGUGAAACAGAAUCUGGAAAUAUUAGUCGUCAGGAAGCUGUUAGCAUGAUCCCGCCACUGCUCCUCAACGUGCGGCCUCAUCACAAGAUCUUAGAUAUGUGUGCAGCACCUGGCUCAAAGACCACACAGUUAAUUGAAAUGCUACAUGCCGACAUGAAUGUCCCCUUUCCAGAGGGAUUUGUUAUUGCGAAUGAUGUGGACAACAAGCGCUGCUACCUGCUCGUCCAUCAAGCCAAGAGGCUGAGCAGCCCCUGCAUCAUGGUGGUCAACCAUGAUGCCUCCAGCAUACCCAGGCUCCAGAUAGAUGUGGACGGCAGGAAAGAGAUCCUCUUCUAUGAUCGAAUUUUAUGUGAUGUCCCUUGCAGUGGAGACGGCACUAUGAGAAAAAACAUUGAUGUUUGGAAAAAGUGGACCACCUUAAAUAGCUUGCAGCUACAUGGCUUACAGCUGCGGAUUGCAACACGCGGGGCUGAACAGCUGGCUGAAGGUGGAAGGAUGGUGUAUUCCACGUGUUCACUAAACCCUAUUGAGGAUGAAGCAGUCAUAGCAUCUUUACUGGAAAAAAGUGAAGGUGCUUUGGAGCUUGCUAAUGUGUCUAAUGAACUGCCAGGGCUGAAGUGGAUGCCUGGAAUCACACAGUGGAAGGUAAUGACGAAAGAUGGGCAGUGGUUUACAGACUGGGACGCUGUUCCUCACAGCAGACACACCCAGAUCCGACCCACCAUGUUCCCUCCGAAGGACCCAGAAAAGCUGCAGGCCAUGCACCUGGAGCGAUGCCUUAGGAUAUUACCCCAUCAUCAGAAUACUGGAGGGUUUUUUGUGGCAGUAUUGGUGAAAAAAUCUUCAAUGCCGUGGAAUAAACGUCAGCCAAAGCUUCAGGGGAAAUCUGCAGAGACCAGAGAAAGCACACAGCUGAGCCCUGCAGAUCCCACAGAAGCGAAACCCACAGAUCCCUCUAAGCUGGAAAGUCCGUCAUUCACAGGAACUGGUGACACAGAAAUAGCUCAUGCAACUGAGGAUUUAGAGAAUAAUGGCAGUAAGAAAGAUGGCGUGUGUGGUCCUCCUCCAUCAAAGAAAAUGAAGUUAUUUGGAUUUAAAGAAGACCCAUUUGUAUUUAUUCCUGAAGAUGACCCAUUAUUUCCACCUAUUGAGAAAUUUUAUGCUUUGGAUCCUUCAUUCCCAAGGAUGAAUUUGUUAACUCGGACUACAGAAGGGAAGAAAAGGCAGCUCUACAUGGUUUCUAAGGAGUUGCGGAAUGUGCUGCUGAAUAACAGCGAGAAGAUGAAGGUUAUUAACACGGGGAUCAAAGUCUGGUGUAGAAAUAACAGCGGUGAAGAGUUUGACUGUGCUUUCCGGCUGGCACAGGAGGGAAUAUAUACAUUGUAUCCAUUUAUUAACUCAAGAAUUAUUACUGUAUCAAUGGAAGAUGUUAAGAUUCUGUUGACCCAGGAAAAUCCCUUUUUUAGAAAACUCAGCAGUGAGACCUACAGUCAAGCCAAGGACCUGGCAAAGGGAAGCAUCGUGCUGAAGUAUGAACCAGAUUCUGCGUAAGUCAGUACACACCCUGCCCUUAGACGCACACGCCUUGUCAUUAGCUACAGUGUUCUCGUUGGUGAGGAAAGUGACUUGGGAAGGAAUCCAGACGCUCUGCAGUGUCCCAUCGUCUUAUGCGGAUGGCGGGGAAAGGCCUCCAUUCGAACUUUUGUGCCCAAGAAUGAACGGCUUCAUUAUCUCAGGAUGAUGGGGCUGGAGGUAUUGGGAGAAAAGAAGAAGGAAGGGGUUAUCCUCACAAAUGAGAGUGCAGCCAGCACCGGACAGCCAGACAAUGAGGUGACUGAGGGACAGAGAGCAGGAGAGCCCAACAGCCCGGACGCAGAAGAGGCCAACAGUCCAGACGUGACAGCAGGCUGUGACCCGGCGGGGGUCCACCCACCCCGGUGAGCAGGCCCAAGGCAGCGGGGGCCCACACCCCUCACACGCAAAACUGGCUUCUUCUGGUCACUGGUGUCUGAAACCAAAUCCAGAGCAGCCUGUGGCCUGUAAAGCAUAUAUUUCUAACGACUGCAGACUGGUGGGAUCAUAGGAGCCUUCUGAAUGACCAGGACUGCUUUCUUUGGAGCUGAUGAAAACGUACUCUUUUAGCGUGUUAGAAAUCACUCGUUUUAUUUUGUUUCUUUGGCCAAGCUAGGUCUAGUGUUUCUUUUGCUGGGAAUAGACUUUCAAAAGUUGUACUUCUAUCAAGAAACAAAACUGCCCUUGCAGAAAUUUCAGGUCUUUUGUUAAGCCUGUAUUGGUCUUAAGGUCCAGUAUUUUUUAAAUUAUUAUUUAUAGAAAGAAUCUAUAAAUUCUUGGGGAAGUGUGUUAUAAGCUUUAAUAAUUACAUUGAGUUGCACCUCAGUGGUGUGACAUUAACAUGCAGUGGGGUUAAUAUCUGAGGCCUCAGAUGACUUUGUGCCUUUUGGAAUAAAGGGUAAAAUAAACUCUCCUAGAGUAAGAGCUGUAUCGUGAAUUGUCAUACUAAUUAUUGAGGGGGACUUAUGUGCUUUUAUUGAAUGGAGUGCUUUACAAUUUUUAUUUUUAAAUGGGGUUGGGAUCCUUGGAAUAUUUCAAUAAAAUUGAUAAAAUAUA